rnacentral:lncRNA from 1 species
UGUAAGGUUGGCCAGACCUUGCACCUGUGCUAGUUGAUCAUGACAAUCGAUCAGAGCAACUCGACUGUAGGUCGGGAAAGUCCGAGCCGAGGUAUCACCGAACUUCGACCAAUGGUGGACCACUCAUCUGGCAUGAUUUUACCUAGCGUUUAAACCAAAUACCAAAGUGAUGUAAACUUCAAAAUUUCAUUUCAAAUAUCUUUCAAAUAAACAAACUCCCAGAUAAAAACUUCCGAAUUU